rnacentral:lncRNA from 1 species
CCAGCACUGAACAUGACGAGAUAUCGAAGAGACAGAGCUCAAGCUGGGUCAGACUGAGCUGUGCCUGGCACCAGCUUUUUGGCUCUUGCUGGGACAGAGGUGAUGAGCAGAGUCCCCCUGUGGGUCUAGAGUAAUCUCUGAAGGAAAAUCUCAGCCAACACAACUGCAAACCCUCCAGCAGCUGAAUUGAUGUGUUGGAACUUGAAGUGUCCUGCAGCUAAAGGGAGAGGAGCAUCAAAGGUCGUGUCUCAGUGGUUUUGAGAGAGUGUCUAUUCCAACACAGGAGGUCUACAACAAGCCCACAACUGCCUGUUAUUCGAAGCCAGUGGAAUUAAAGCAGAAAAGGGUUUGUCUGUUCAUGGUUUAGAAGCAAGAAUGGACCCAAUGUGAAAGCUCUUCCCUUUGAUUUGGAGUGAAAGACAUCCAGUGAUUUUCAUGCUAGUCUGAGAAAUAAUGUGAAGUCCUG